CCUACGGGUGGCAGCAGUGAGGAAUAUUGGUCAAUGGACGAGAGUCUGAACCAGCCAAGUAGCGUGAAGGAUGACGGCCCUAUGGGUUGUAAACUUCUUUUAUAUGGGAAUAAAACAGGGUAUGCAUACCCUCUUGUAGGUACCAUAUGAAUAAGGAUCGGCUAACUCCGUGCCAGCAGCCGCGGUAAUACGGAGGAUCCGAGCGUUAUCCGGAUUUAUGGGGUUUAAAGGGAGCGUAGGUGGAUUGUUAAGUCAGUGGUGAAAGUUUGCGGCUCAACCGUAAAAUUGCAGUUGAAACUGGCAGGCUUGAGUGCAGGAGAGGUGGGCGGAAUUCGUGGUGUAGCGGUGAAAUGCUUAGAUAUCACGAAGAACUCCGAUUGCGAAGGCAGCUCACUGGACUGCAACUGACACUGAUGCUCGAAAGUGUGGGUAUCAAACAGGAUUAGAUACCCCUGUAGUC
rnacentral:rRNA from 1 species